rnacentral:ncRNA from 2 species
UGGCCGCUCGGAGAUGGCAUGCCUCCCGUUCCGGCACCUUCGGAUGCGCCGGGACAAACCGCUACUCGUGAUCCCGCGUUGAAGCUGAUGAUGCCUGCACCUCC